CAGGUAUUACUUUGUUUCACAGAAGAAAAAAAAGUAUAGAAAACCUUUCAUUCUGGAUCAUCUUAAUGAUGUUUUUUGCGACCGCAUAGAUGGUACUGAUGAGCUUGGUAACAUUACUCAUAAACUUAGUUCACUCAUUUUCUCGUUUCAAGAGCUAUCUCAUCCAAGUAGGGCUGCAAGUAAUGAUAGAAAGUCAAGUCAUCCCAUGGCUGCUGUACUGGUGGAUUACGAAGGUUCAAACUCUAUUAAACCAGUCCCUCAGGUCAUGGUAACACAGACGAAGAACUGCUUUUCUAAAGGAGCUUAAUUUAUACAAAUGGACAUCAGCUGCGUACAAGACACUAACCUCUUUUUCAAACUUUUCGUGUUGAUGGAGGACAUGGUACUAUCUUACAUAAUGCAGUGGCUCAAGAUGACUUUGGGGUGCUUGGGGUGUUGACAUACAUACCCAACAUUCAAACAAGGAAAAAAGAUGACGAGAAGCAGCAGAAGAUGCCUGAACUAAAUCAGUUAUACAUAAUGCAGUAGCUCAAGAUGUCCAAAGUUAUAUGUCAUAAUCCACUUGUAGGUGGUGAUUACUGUGAACAAAAUCAGUGGAUGAGAUGUUCGUCUCAAUGGGUUUAUGAAGAUGGUAGUGCUGUUUAAACAUGGAAGAAGAACAAGUCUGUGUUGCAGCUGAAUUGAAAUGACAAUGGUGUUGAUGUAGCUGUUGCAGUUGUGGUUUAAGCUAAGAAGAUUGUGAUGCAGCAAGAUAGAAGAUUACUGAGAAGAUGGAGCUGAAGGCAGUGGUGAAUGGUUGGCUGCAGAGGUGCUGGUGCUGCAAUAAAGUAAAGUGAAUUGAGGAGUACUCAGAUUCCUAAGUAGUGUAGCAGAUAUGUACUCAUAUUUGUAAGCAGUGUGGCAGAUAUGUACUCAAAUUUGUAAACAGUGUAGCAGAUAUGUACUCAAAUCUAUGGUCCUUUAUAUGUUUUAAUUAAAUUUGGACCUCCAGAUAAAUAAAAUCCCGAUUUGGUAGAA